CACAAACUCAGGGCUAAGCCCUGCUGCCAGGAAUAGCAGGCCAUAAAGAUAAAGAAAAGGAAUGCAAGAACCAGCUCAGGCUAUCGAGGACUGAGCCAUAAACCAUCCAAAGACAUCCCCCCAGCUUACUCAGAGUCAUACUUUAACCAGAUGUCCUCCAGACCCUGAUAAGCCCCUACUUGUGCUCUUCAGCCAUUGUGUCCUACAGAGAGCAUUCCAAGAAACCGGACAGCCCAAGCCUAACCAGAGGUGUUUCAAAUACAAAUGCUCCAUCAGUUUUGACAAACGUUUAAAAAUAAUGAGGACCUGAAGACCCUACCCUUCUCCUGAUUUAGUAGCUCUGUUCCAGGAACCAGGGGGCCAUAAAACCUUCUGGUGUCCCCUUAUCUCCUGGAGCCAUAAAACAAUCCUGUAACUUGUGGUACAUUCCCCUUUGACAUCCCCCAUCCCCUGGUGCUCACAGCCUCUGCCUUUAAAUACUCUUUUUCCCAGCCUCUCGGGGCCGACACCUCUGUCUCCUGCGUGGGAUACGUGUCGGCCCGGAGAUCUCUGUAAUAGGUCUCCGUAAUAAACCUCGCCUUUGCUUAUUACAUCCAAAAUGGUCUCUCUGUGUCUAGGGUCCGCGAUUUCCCAAGACUUGAGUAAGGGUCUCUCUGCGUGGGAUCUUUCAUAAUGGGGGCUCGUCCGGGAUCUGCGCGACUACCCCAGACUCCGAAGACCCCUUGGAGGUGAGUUGGAUGUUUGUCUGAGUGUUUCUGUGUGAGCGGCGCCGCAAUUGUCAGUCUGUGUCUGUCUCUGUUUUGGUUCCGCCGUGUGUGUAUAUAUGUGUGUCUUAGUACUGGUCAGUGUUAAGAGGGCAGAUGGGUAUUCCUGCCCUGUGGUAAGAGGGCAGAUGUGUGUUCCUGCCUUGUGCUGAGAGGGUGGAUGUGUAUUCCUGCCCUGUGGUAAGAGGGUGGAUGUGUAUUCCUGCCCUGUAGGAGAGUGGAUGUGUAUCCCCACUCAGUGCAGCUGCCUUUGUGGUCCGUGAGGACCCCCUGGCUGCGGAAGGGGGGACGCCCCGGGCCCGCAAGGCUGCAGCCCCUGGAAGACGUUCCACGGGCGGAGAACAGUCGGGAGAGCCCGGCUAUGGACAGUCAGGAGGACCUGACUCUGGUUUUCUGGAACAAAGGAGAUGGAAUGCUCCUUUUACCUAGGCGGGAGUGGACGAGGAAUCCCACUCCGUCAGAGGUCGAGUUCGGCUGCCUAUUUAAAUAUAGGCACGGACAAGUGUGCUUAGUCGUUAGGACAAGAGGACACUCUGGAAUCCUGUUGGGAGGUGGAAUUAGAUGGUCCAUCUCAUCCCAAAAGCAGCUAAGGUUAAGCUGCAGUUUGGGCCACGUACUGAAGGUACCAGGCAUCUGUGAAAGUUGGUUAUAAGAUGCUUUGUCUUGAUAUUGUUUGUCUGGCUUGUUUUCUGUGGUAUUGUCGAGUGUCUUUUUGGCUUUUGUUUCGUUUUUGAAUUUUGGACUGACGACUGUGUUUGAAUUUGGACUGACAACUGUGUUUAAAAUCUUGGACUGAUAACUGUGUUUGAAAUCAUGAAACUGUUUGCUUUGUUCGUCAAAGAGUUUUACUUGGUCCUCUUGGUGCUUAAGUUAAGAGUUAAAAAUAAUUUGCUUGAGAAAAAUUGUUUUCUGCCAGGGAGUUUUGUCUUUCUCUCUUGAGCCUCCUCCCAAGGAGAGAGGCGCCACCCUUUACUCCCCUUGAUCAGCCUAGCUGCUGUUAACAGUUGUGUAAACAGACAUUAACAAAAGCCUUGAGGAAGAAACCGCUCAUAAAUAAAAAAGUUCCCCAGAUUAGGCCUCCGGUAUGAAACAAGUAUAGUGAGUAAGAAACUUAAUUUUAUGGACCCCGCUCUAGUGGCAGUGUGUUGGUUGAUAGCCAACGUUAAUUUUUAAAACAUAGUGUUUUAUCUGUGCUUGUGCUCGCAGCACACAGUAGGGGGGAGCGAAAUUAGCUGCGGAGCUGCUGCAGCGAGCAUGGGGACUUCUCAAGUCUCACCCAAUUUUUCUGGCUCUUCAGGAGCUGUUUAAAAGGAAAAGGCUUAAGAUAAAAAGAAACACUAUAGAGAGAUUUUUUAGUAAAUUGCUACACCUUGGUUCGCUAUCUCUGGGAAUCUCACGGUAGACAGCUGUGAUAAGCUGGGGAAGAUUUAAAUUUUGCCUGGGAACAAGGAAUCUUAAAGGCGGAGUUUCAGCCGGUAUGACACUUAGUGCAUAGCUGCCUAAAAGAUCAGAAAUGCUGUCAACAGGCUAUAAAAAAGGGACAGGCUGUGUUAGAAAUGCUACAUGAAGAAUGAUCUAAAAAGGCUAAAAGUGAGGUGGGAGAGGACUCUAAGAAAAACAAGAACAAGAAAGGAAUUUCUGCUUUUAGUGACCAGACCUUCAACUCUUGCUCACAGAAAGAGGGUGCUCAUUAAGAGAAGUUCUUUAAGGAGCCUGCCUUAUCUGCUGGCCCUAUUCCAAGAGAGGAGCCAGUCUCCAGCAUUAAAUUACUUUUCUCACUGGUCAUCAUUAGCAUGGAGAAUGCCUUUGAUCCUAUCCCCACAGCAGCCAGUUCCUGCCCCUGUGGUAGAAAUGUCCCAGGUUGGGGGGCAGAGAAGCCCCUAAAAUAGUUUCAAAGAAUCUACAACAAACUGUAAAGAACUUUGUUUUGUUUUGCCAGUUUGAAUUUAGAAUUCAGGCUUUGGCUGUGGCCGAGGUCAGGAUUAAUGUUUUCGUUUCCAUGGGCCCUUAGCCCACUGAGACAGUUUGGUAAAGGACUACUACUACAGUCCUGAUAUUCAGAGACAUGGAGAGAGCUAUAGUUUUUUUUUAUUAAAGGUUGGUACUAUAGUAUUAACAAUCUCUUUAUUAGAUAUAAGAGACAAGAAGCCCCAGGUGAACUGGUUACAAUUCUUUUGUCAGCUGCUUAGUAUCUAACACUCAGGUUCUAUCGUCUCUCCAUCCUUUUAUUAUUAGUUGUUACUGAAAGCCUAGUGCCAUUUAGAGGAUGGGUCUCUUGAGUGAUAAAGCCACUGAGCUGGCACUAAAGGAAGGUACUCCUUAAGGGAAAAUCUAAGUCCAGAGAGACAACCGGUAACAGAUAGACUGCCCCUCUGCUCACUUUUCUGUUUCACAGACACAAGGUCUUUUUGUCCCAAGAAAGCCUCCUGGCUUAGCUGUGUGACUAAAUGCUAUUUGCCCUCUUCAGUGGACCUCUAUUCUCAAGAUUCUCUUGUUUUCUCACCAUCCCAUUUGAGAUGCUUGUUAGUAACUGUUACAGGUCUUCUUUACCACCGAGGAAAGACAAAAUCCUACUAGAGGCCAGAAAAAGUGUUCCAGAGAUGGAUGGAAGGCCCUCACUUCUGCCUGCUCUUUUCAGACGCCUAAAGGUAGGGAGUGCCAGGUCUGCCGCCAGGCUCCAAGGGUGGGUCUCUGAGGGGCUAAAAAAUGCCCCACCAAUCUGGCUAAGAUAAAGAAAGGAUAUGAAGAAAAAGUUACAAAAAUUUAAAGGGUUAAGUUAAGUUGCUGAGAGUUAGUACAAGUUACAGAGAAAGAGGUAAAAAGAACAGAAAGCUAAAAAAAAAAGAGACAAAAAGAAGAGGAAGUUAGAGAGAUAAAGAGAGAUAAAAGACGAGAGAGGAACAUAUACUGGCCACAGUAGUUAGGGAACCUAGGAAGAUAGUACCUGGCAACAGAAGAGAAUUCCUGACUAAAGAUCAGUGUGCCUAAUACGAAGAAAAAGGAUAUUGGGUCAGGGACUGCCCCAGAAAGAACAAGAGGGGACACUGGAGAGCCUCUUGGUGCUGGCUAUACACAGAGAUAGAAGGGAAGCCCGCCCAGUUGUUUUGUGGAUACAGGGACCCAAUGCUCUGUGCUCCUAUGCCCCCCUGUGGGCCAAUAUCCAAAGACCUUGAGUGCAAGGAGCUACUGACAACGAACAAUACUUAUGGACUGCCCGAAGAACAGUGGACCUUGGCGUGGGCCGGGUAACCCACUAGUUCAUAGUCAUCCCUGACUGCCCCCAUCCCUUGCUCAUGAGAAAAUUGCUCUCCAAAUUGGCUUGCGUGGGCUGAAAUGGCUGGAUGAGGCCAUGUGUAUACAUAUCUAUAGACUGUGUAUGUGGAGCUUAAGACCUGUCUCAGUACACCAGUAACUGAUGCUGGGAGUUGAAUGGCUUAGUGCUUUUCUGCCUGAAACACACCGUUCCUGCCAGCAUGGCACUAACAAUUAUCACCCAAUCCAGGACUUAAACUGUGAUAGAGUGGCUGAUAGAGUGUCCCUAAAGAUGGGACCACUGGUCAGCUGCCAUGGACUAGAUUCUCCACCGGUUGGGGACAAUCUGGUCACCUUGCUGCCCAAUCCGGACCUGGAGCCACCACAGCACGAGUGUCAAACACUGACAGAAGCACAUGGGUGGAGGAAAGACCUCUGCGACUGGCUGAUUGACCCCUGCUGAAAGCCGAGGACCUUGUCCACAGAUGGGAACAGUUCUCUUCAUGAAUGAAGGUCAGAGACAAGUGGGUGCUGCCAUGGUGGACAACACAAUGUCAUCUAGAAUGGCUGAACCUCUACCCCCCCAGCACAUCAGCGCCACAGAUAUCUUUGCCAUCUCUUAGAUGCCCUGAUGAAGCCAACAACUGUGAGUACUAUUCAUUGCCCAGGAAAACAGGAGGGAAGAGAUUCAGUGACAUGGGGCAGUGACAAAACAGAUAAAGUGGCUCGGGAAAUGGCUAUACAGGAGCCUAUCCUGGUUACAGGCCUGCAAGAGACAGCCACUGAGAACUAGGAUUAGACUAAGGGAUGGCCUCACUUAGAAAAGGCCCAAAUUGCUUAAAAGAUAAAGGACAAUGGCACACUUGAGGGGAAGCUAUACUCCCCAGAGAACAAAGAAAAGACUCACUUUGCCAAAUAAAAAAAUAGACUCAUUUAAGAGAUAAGAAGUUUGUCCAAAUAGUUAAAAUAUAUAUAAUAGACUUUAAGAUUUUAGCCAAGAGAGACAAUAAAAAAGUAUAAAAUACGUCAAUAAAUAAAUGCUUAACAAACAGGACAAAGAGACCUAGAGAGUUUAACGAAAAGUCGAAGUGAACUUCACUGAGAUAAAACCAGAAAAAUAUAAUCUCCUAGUGCUUGUAGAUACUUUUUCAGAAAUAGACAGAGAAGCUUUCCUCACCAAACGAGAGACGGCCUCUGCAAUCAUCAAGAAGAUACUGAAAGAAAUCUUCCCCAGGUCUGGAAUGCCCAAGGUAAUCUGGUCAGACAACGGUCCUACUUUCGUUGCCAAGGCUAAAAGACCUACAGGUGAUACAGAAAGAAAUCUGCUCACAGCUGACAGCAGCCUAUGCCCCGGAGACCCCUGAGACAUCCCAUCAGUUCCAGGUCGGAAGCAGCUACACUGAGCCCAGACACUCGAUCCUCGCUGGAAAGGACCAUACCUGGUGCUGCUGACCACCCUGACAGCCGUCAGUUCUCAGCCCUCACCAGCCGUGUACUAGCUGUUAGGGCUGAGAGCUGGGACCUAGAGGGAAAUUUAGUCACGUUUGUCCUGGGUUCCAUCGAGAUAGGUGUGGGGAUAGGCUUGAUUUCUAUUACAAAUGAUGUAACAUUACAUAUGUUAGUACUCCUAACACUUCUUGGGACUGUGCCUCAGGGAUCACAACCUAUAUAAGUUUAGAAGUUCUGAAAGACAGUCAUGACCUUGGUAUAUAGGUUUAGAUAGUGUCCAGAUAGAAUCCUGAUGCCAAAGACUUUUUAGCUGACCUCCAAGAAUACCUAACCUCCCUCUCAGAGGUAGUCCUUCAAAAUAAAAAAAGAUUAGACCUGAUAUUCCUUAAAGAAGGAGUCUGUGUGCUAUACUGAAAGAAAAAUGUUGCUUCUAUACAGACCAUUCAGGAGUAAUUAAAGACUCCAUAAAUAAACUUAGAAAAAGGUUAGACAAAAGACAGACAGAAAAACACAUCAGAGAUAGUUCGAGAGCUAGUUUAGUAGAUCUCCCUAGAUGACUACCCUACUCUCUGCUACAGCUGGGCCAUUAUUAAUAAUUUUCUUGGUUUUAGUUUUUGGCUCCUGCGUGACAAACAGGUUAAUUGCUUUUGUUAAAAAUCGAGUGGGUGCUGUGCGGUUGAUGGUUGUGAGACAACAGUACCAGUCAGUUAGGACAACUGGUGAGACCAAAUACGAGACUUGAUAUCAAAAUUCUAAGAUUAGAAUUAUUUAGUAGGAGAAGACGGGAAUGAAAAGAAAAUUAUACGAAUUCUAGGUUUAAAAAUAUAAAAUGAAAAGAGUUAGCCCCAAAAGCCACAAACUCAGGGCUAAGCCCUGCCGCCAGGAAUAGCAGGCCAUAAAGAUAAAGAAAAGGAAUGCAAGAACCAGCUCAGGCUAUUGAGGACUGAGCCAUAAACCAUCCAAAGACAUCCCCCCAGCUUACUCAGAGUCAUACUUUAACCAGAUGUCCUCCAGACCCUGAUAAGCCCCUACUUGUGCUCUUCAGCCAUUGUGUCCUACAGAGAGCAUUCCAAGAAACCGGACAGCCCAAGCCUAACCAGAGGUGUUUCAAAUACAAAUGCUCCAUCAGUUUUGACAAACGUUUAAAAAUAAUGAGGACCUGAAGACCCUACCCUUCUCCUGAUUUAGUAGCUCUGUUCCAGGAACCAGGGGGCCAUAAAACCUUCUGGCGUCCCCUUAUCUCCUGGAGCCAUAAAACAAUCCUGUAACUUGUGGUACAUUCCCCUUUGACAUCCCCCAUCCCCUGGUGCUCACAGCCUCUGCCUUUAAAUACUCUUUUUCCCAGCCUCUCGGGGCCGACACCUCUGUCUCCUGCGUGGGAUACGUGUUGGCCCGGAGAUCUCUGUAAUAGGUCUCCGUAAUAAACCUCGCCUUUGCUUAUUA